rnacentral:rRNA from 1 species
UACGUAGGGUGCAAGCGUUAAUCGGGAUUACUGGGCGUAAAGCGUGCGCAGGCGGUUGUGCAAGACAGAUGUGAAAUCCCCGGGCUUAACCUGGGAAUUGCAUUUGUGACUGCACGGCUAGAGUGUGUCAGAGGGGGGUAGAAUUCCACGUGUAGCAGUGAAAUGCGUAGAUAUGUGGAGGAAUACCGAUGGCGAAGGCAGCCCCCUGGGAUAACACUGACGCUCAUGCACGAAAGCGUGGGGAGCAAACAGG